AUGGCACAGGAACCGUCUGUCAAGCGUCAUCGGGGCGAGACGUCCGACCAGAGCAGCAACCUCGACGAUGUUCACGUCCCCGGAGAGAAGCGUGAGUAUAACCAAACCCUCAUAGGGGUUGAGCUCCACGGCAAGGAGAUGCUGGAGAUCGUCUGCACCAGCAAACCAGACGAGGCCGACAAGGUGAUCGGCAGGCUCAAGAUGAUGAGCCUCGGCUUGUAUCCUAGAUUCAUCGAUGUUUAUGUGGAGUUUACCACAAGAGAUGAACCCCCGCAAAUGCCAACAGUCCUGCAGUUAUGCAUGGAGGAACUCUGCUUGGUGUACGACAUCGCAGCAGCCACAAAAUGGUCUUUUAUUACACAAAAAGAAAAAUAA
rnacentral:rRNA from 1 species